rnacentral:rRNA from 1 species
GGGUGCUAACGUCCGUCGUGAAGAGGGAAACAACCCAGACCGCCAGCUAAGGUCCCAAAGUCAUGGUUAAGUGGGAAACGAUGUGGGAAGGCCCAGACAGCCAGGAUGUUGGCUUAGAAGCAGCCAUCAUUUAAAGAAAGCGUAAUAGCUCACUGGUCGAGUCGGCCUGCGCGGAAGAUGUAACGGGGCUAAACCAUGCACCGAAGCUGCGGCAGCGACACUGUGUGUUGUUGGGUAGGGGAGCGUUCUGUAAGCCUGUGAAGGUGUGCUGUGAGGCAUGCUGGAGGUAUCAGAAGUGCGAAUGCUGACAUAAGUAACGAUAAAGCGGGUGAAAAGCCCGCUCGCCGGAAGACCAAGGGUUCCUGUCCAACGUUAAUCGGGGCAGGGUGAGUCGACCCCUAAGGCGAGGCCGAAAGGCGUAGUCGAUGGGAAACAGGUUAAUAUUCCUGUACUUGGUGUUACUGCGAAGGGGGGACGGAGAAGGCUAUGUUGGCCGGGCGACGGUUGUCCCGGUUUAAGCGUGUAGGCUGGUUUUCCAGGCAAAUCCGGAAAAUCAAGGCUGAGGCGUGAUGACGAGGCACUACGGUGCUGAAGCAACAAAUGCCCUGCUUCCAGGAAAAGCCUCUAAGCAUCAGGUAACAUCAAAUCGUACCCCAAACCGACACAGGUGGUCAGGUAGAGAAUACCAAGGCGCUUGAGAGAACUCGGGUGAAGGAACUAGGCAAAAUGGUGCCGUAACUUCGGGAGAAGGCACGCUGAUAUGUAGGUGAAGUCCCUCGCGGAUGGAGCUGAAAUCAGUCGAAGAUACCAGCUGGCUGCAACUGUUUAUUAAAAACACAGCACUGUGCAAACACGAAAGUGGACGUAUACGGUGUGACGCCUGCCCGGUGCCGGAAGGUUAAUUGAUGGGGUCAGCGCAAGCGAAGCUCUUGAUCGAAGCCCCGGUAAACGGCGGCCGUAACUAUAACGGUCCUAAGGUAGCGAAAUUCCUUGUCGGGUAAGUUCCGACCUGCACGAAUGGCGUAAUGAUGGCCAGGCUGUCUCCACCCGAGACUCAGUGAAAUUGAACUCGCUGUGAAGAUGCAGUGUACCCGCGGCAAGACGGAAAGACCCCGUGAACCUUUACUAUAGCUUGACACUGAACAUUGAGCCUUGAUGUGUAGGAUAGGUGGGAGGCUUUGAAGUGUGGACGCCAGUCUGCAUGGAGCCGACCUUGAAAUACCACCCUUUAAUGUUUGAUGUUCUAACGUGGACCCGUGAUCCGGGUUGCGGACAGUGUCUGGUGGGUAGUUUGACUGGGGCGGUCUCCUCCUAAAGAGUAACGGAGGAGCACGAAGGUUGGCUAAUCCUGGUCGGACAUCAGGAGGUUAGUGCAAUGGCAUAAGCCAGCUUGACUGCGAGCGUGACGGCGCGAGCAGGUGCGAAAGCAGGUCAUAGUGAUCCGGUGGUUCUGAAUGGAAGGGCCAUCGCUCAACGGAUAAAAGGUACUCCGGGGAUAACAGGCUGAUACCGCCCAAGAGUUCAUAUCGACGGCGGUGUUUGGCACCUCGAUGUCGGCUCAUCACAUCCUGGGGCUGAAGUAGGUCCCAAGGGUAUGGCUGUUCGCCAUUUAAAGUGGUACGCGAGCUGGGUUUAGAACGUCGUGAGACAGUUCGGUCCCUAUCUGCCGUGGGCGCUGGAGAACUGAGGGGGGCUGCUCCUAGUACGAGAGGACCGGAGUGGACGCAUCACUGGUGUUCGGGUUGUCAUGCCAAUGGCACUGCCCGGUAGCUAAAUGCGGAAGAGAUAAGUGCUGAAAGCAUCUAAGCACGAAACUUGCCCCGAGAUGAGUUCUCCCUGACCCUUUAAGGGUCCUGAAGGAACGUUGAAGACGACGACGUUGAUAGGCCGGGUGUGUAAGCGCAGCGAUGCGUUGAGCUAACCGGUACUAAUGAACCGUGAGGCUUAACCUUACAACGCCGAAGGUGUUU